CUAACCUCUUACACACUAUAUAUCUUUUAAUCUUUUGUGCUGUAAAAUUUUCAUUUAUUCUUGAGAUUGGCAAGUUGGCAUUGAGUUUGGAUACAAGAAACAAAUCAUCAUAGUCUCAUAGAGAUAGAGGUUCUCUAUCUACAAUAUUCCAAGAGAGGAAACUUCAAAAUUCAAAGAAAAGAUUCAAGAGAGAAUACUUAUUUUUAUUUGCAAUAAUUCAAGGUUUUAUGAUUUGAAGAUUGUUCGUUGAGGAAAACGUGAAGAAGAAAAGUCACUUGUGUUGGAUGAAUAGAUCUACAUAUUUGAAUAAUGUUCCUUAAGUUUUUUUUUUUUUUUUUAAAUUACAUUUAGA